rnacentral:rRNA from 1 species
GACAGAGGGUGCAAGCGUUGUUCGGAAUCAUUGGGCGUAAAGGGCGCGUAGGCGGUUUUACAAGUCGAAUGUGAAAGCCCAGGGCUUAACCUUGGAAGUGCAUCCGAAACUGUAAGACUAGAAUCUCGGAGAGGGUGGUGGAAUUCCCAGUGUAGAGGUGAAAUUCGUAGAUAUUCGGAAGAACACCAGUGGCGAAGGCGACUUACUGGAUCAUUACUGACGCUGAGGCUCGAAAGCGUGGGGAGCAAACAGG